rnacentral:rRNA from 1 species
ACGGGUGCGUAACGCGUGGGAAUCUGCCCCUUGGUUCGGAAUAACAGUUGGAAACGACUGCUAAUACCGGAUGAUGACGUAAGUCCAAAGAUUUAUCGCCGAGGGAUGAGCCCGCGUAGGAUUAGGUAGUUGGUGUGGUAAAGGCGCACCAAGCCGACGAUCCUUAGCUGGUCUGAGAGGAUGAUCAGCCACACUGGGACUGAGACACGGCCCAGACUCCUACGGGAGGCAGCAGUGGGGAAUAUUGGACAAUGGGCGAAAGCCUGAUCCAGCAAUGCCGCGUGAGUGAUGAAGGCCUUAGGGUUGUAAAGCUCUUUUACCCGGGAUGAUAAUGACAGUACCGGGAGAAUAAGCUCCGGCUAACUCCGUGCCAGCAGCCGCGGUAAUACGGAGGGAGCUAGCGUUAUUCGGAAUUACUGGGCGUAAAGCGCACGUAGGCGGCUUUGUAAGUAAGAGGUGAAAGCCCAGAGCUCAACUCUGGAAUUGCCUUUUAGACUGCAUCGCUUGAAUCAUGGAGAGGUCAGUGGAAUUCCGAGUGUAG